AUUUUAGUCUUAUAAGAGGAACCUGUUUAUUAAUUGAUAAUCCACGAUUAAUUUUACUUAUUUUAUUAAUUCAUAUAUCGCUGUCAUGAAUAUAUUUAAAAAUUUAUUUUCUUUAUUUAUUAUUUUAAUUUAUGUUAAGUCAAGAUGUGGUUAAUAAAUAAGUAUAUAAUGGGUUACAUUAAAUUUUAUUUUUGGAUUUUAAAUGAAAAUUAAAAUGAAAUUGGAUUUAAUAGUAAAUUUAUUUAUUUAAUUAAUAUGAAGAAAGAUCUAAAAUAUGUACAUAUUGCCCGUCAUUCUUAUUAAAAAUAAGACAAGUCGUAACAAAGUAAAUGUACUGGAAAGUGUAUUUAGAAAGUAAAUAAAUAUCUAAA
rnacentral:rRNA from 1 species